rnacentral:rRNA from 1 species
AGGGAAUCUUCCGCAAUGGACGAAAGUCUGACGGAGCAACGCCGCGUGAGCGAUGAAGGUCUUCGGAUCGUAAAGCUCUGUUGUUAGGGAAGAACACGUACCAUUCAAAUAGGAUGGUACCUUGACGGUACCUAACGAGGAAGCCACGGCUAACUACGUGCCAGCAGCCGCGGUAAUACGUAGGUGGCAAGCGUUGUCCGGAAUUAUUGGGCGUAAAGCGCGCGCAGGCGGUCUUUUAAGUCUGAUGUGAAAUCUUGCGGCUCAACCGUGAGCGGUCAUUGGAAACUGGAAGACUUGAGUGCAGAAGAGGAGAGUGGAAUUCCACGUGUAGCGGUGAAAUGCGUAGAGAUGUGGAGGAACACCAGUGGCGAAGGCGGCUCUCUGGUCUGUAACUGACGCUGAGGCGCGAAAGCGUGGGGAGCGAAC